GAUGAACGCUGGCGGCGUGCCUAAUACAUGCAAGUCGAGCGAACGGACGAGAAGCUUGCUUCUCUGAUGUUAGCGGCGGACGGGUGAGUAACACGUGGAUAACCUACCUAUAAGACUGAGAUAACUUCGGGAAACCGGAGCUAAUACCGGAUGAUAUUUUGAACCGCAUGGUUCAAAAGUGAAAGACGGUCUUGCUGUCACUUAUAGAUGGAUCCGCGCUGCAUUAGCUAGUUGGUAAGGUAACGGCUUACCAAGGCAACGAUGCAUAGCCGACCUGAGAGGGUGAUCGGCCACACUGGAACUGAGACACGGUCCAGACUCCUACGGGAGGCAGCAGUAGGGAAUCUUCCGCAAUGGGCGAAAGCCUGACGGAGCAACGCCGAGUGAGUGAUGAAGGUCUUCGGAUCGUAAAACUCUGUUAUUAGGGAAGAACAUAUGUGUAAGUAACUGUGCACAUCUUGACGGUACCUAAUCAGAAAGCCACGGCUAACUACGUG
rnacentral:rRNA from 1 species